UCACAAGGCCAGCACCCAUUCCCAGUUCUGUCGUGGGGAGGGUAAGGACGCAGGCUGGGCUACAGGGCACAGCAGCUGCCCUGUGUUGCGUGUCCUUUAGAGACGAGAUCUGUGUAGACAAGUUUCAGGGGAAACGUGCUGAGCAAGCAGUGCGGGAGGUUCAGAUUUAGGCCUCAUUAACUCAAACUCCUGCGUCUCCCACGCACCCUUCAGAGCUGGGCCAGGGAACACGGAGGUCAGGCCCAGCGAUCCCACAGGCUGCGCCAGGCAGGCACUGCUGACUCAGCCCAGCACCUCCCACGUCCCUGGCCAGCAGGGCCGGCACACAGCAGGAGUGCCAGGCGACCUCCAUGAAUGAAUGAGUGAAGGGCCCUCAAAGCUGUCUGGAACUUCGAGAAACUGUGGGUUUGCACAGUCCUUUGGGAGGGGAGUUCAAGCAUUCUCAAAAAAAUAAAAAAUAAAGAGCCAUCAUUCUCAAGCGCCAGUGCCGCCUCUUGCUCGCCGAGCUCCAGCCGAAGGAGAAGGGGGGUAAGUAAGGAGGUCUUUAUAUACCAUGGCUCGUACAAAGCAGACUGCCCGCAAAUCAACCGGUGGUAAAGCACCCAGGAAGCAACUGGCUACAAAAGCCGCUCGCAAGAGUGCGCCCUCUACUGGAGGGGUGAAGAAACCUCAUCGCUACAGGCCUGGUACAGUGGCACUCCGUGAAAUUAGAAGUUAUCAGAAGUCCACUGAACUUCUGAUUCGAAAACUUCCUUCCAGCAUCUGGUGCAAGAAAUUGCUCAGGACUUCAAAACAGAUCUGCGCUUCCAGAGCGCAGCUAUUGGUGCUUUGCAGGAGGCAAGUGAGGCCUAUCUGGUUGGCCUUUUUGAAGACACCAAUCUGUGUGCUAUCCAUGCCAAACGUGUAACAAUUAUGCCAAAAGACAUCCAGCUAGCAGGCCGCAUAUGUGGAGAAUGUGCUUAAGAAUCCACUAUGAUGGGAAAACAUUUCACUCUCAAAAAAAAGAUUCUCUUCUUCCUGUUAUUGGUAGUUCUGAACGUUAGAUUUUUUUUUCCCCAUGGGGUCAAAAGGUACCUAAGUAUAUGAUUUCAAGUGGAAAAAUAGGGGACAGAAAUUAGGUAUUGGCAGUUUUUCCAUUUUCAUUUGUGUGUGACUUUUUAAUAUAAAUGCAGGAUAUGAAGCAUUAAUGCAAGUCAAAUGUUUCAGUGAACAAGUUUCAGCAGUUCAACUUUAUAACAAUUAUAAAUAAACCUGUUAAAUUUUUCUGGACAA